UUGGAGGGCAAGUCUGGUGCCAGCAGCCGCGGUAAUUCCAGCUCCAAUAGCGUAUAUUAAAGUUGUUGCAGUUAAAAAGCUCGUAGUUGAAUUUCGGGAUUGGCGCAUCGGUCGUGCCUCACGGGGUAUGAACUGGUGCAGUCAAUUUCUCACCUUCUGGAGAACCGCGAUGUCCUUAAUUGGAUGCCGCGGGGAACCAGGACCUUUACUUUGAAAAAAUUAGAGUGUUUAAAGCAGGCAUUUUUGCUUGAAUACAUUAGCAUGGAAUAAUAAAAUAGGACGGCAUGGUUCUGUUUUGUUGGUUUCUAGGACCACCGUAAUGAUUAAUAGGGAUAGUUGGGGGCAUUAGUAUCCAAUUGUCAGAGGUGAAAUUCUUGGAUUUAUUGAAGACUAACUACUGCGGAAGCAUUUGCCAAGGAUGUUUUCAUUAAUCAAGAACGAAAGUUAGGGGAUCGAAGACGAUCAGAUACCGUCGUAGUCUUAACCAUAAACUAUGCCGACUAGGAAUCAGACGAUGUUAAUUUUUUAAUGACUCGUUUGGCACCUUACGGGAAACCAAAGUGUUUGGGUUC
rnacentral:rRNA from 1 species